GCCUAAGACAUGCAAGUCGAACGAGAUGGCCACAGAUUUAGAAGGAAGAUAGAGUGCUUGCACGAAGUUAGAAUUUGAUGACGUGGAAAUUCCAUCUAGUGGCAAACGGGUGAAUAACACGUGGGUAACCUACCUCUAAGUUGGGGAUAACAGUUGGAAACGACUGAUAAUACCGAAUAAGCUCUACGGAGUAAAGAAGCCAUUAAGCUUCGCUAAGAGAUGGGCCUGCGGCGUAUUAGCUAGUUGGUGGGGUAAGAGCCUACCAAGGCGACGAUCGGUAGCUGGUCUGAGAGGACGACCAGCCACACUGGGACUGAGACACGGCCCAGACUCCUACGGGAGGCAGCAGUGGGGAAUUUUGGACAAUGGGGGCAACCCUGAUCCAGCCAUGCCGCGUGCAGGAUGAAGGCCUUCGGGUUGUAAACUGCUUUUGUCAGGGACGAAAAGGACCGUGUUAAUACCAUGGUCUGCUGACGGUACCUGAAGAAUAAGCACCGGCUAACUACGUG
rnacentral:rRNA from 1 species